CAAUAGCGUAUAUUAAAGCUGUUGCGGUUAAAAAGCUCGUAGUUGGAUUUCUGUCAAGUACAACUGGUCCGCCCUCCGGGUGAGCACAUAGUUUGGUCUUGGCAUCUUGCUGGAAAUUGUUGCUGCACUUGGCUGUGUGGCGCAGUGUCCAGCACUUUCACUUUGAGGAAAUUGGAGUGUUUCAAGCAGGCAAUGCCUUUGAACACAGUAGCAUGGAAUAAUUAGAUUGGGCUUUUGCUCCAAUUUGUCAGUUUCUGGAGCUGAGGUGAGAAUUAAUGGGGAUUGUUGGGGGCAUCCGAAUUUAGCCGUCAGAGGUGAAAUUCUUGGAUCGGCUAAAGACGGACAACUGCGAAAGCGUUUGCCCAGGAUGUUUUCAUUGA
rnacentral:rRNA from 1 species